CGCGUGCACUGGUUCGGCCGGGCCUUUCCCUCUGGGGAACCGCAUGCCCUUCACUGGGUGUGUCGGGGAACCAGGACUUUUACUGUGAAAAAAUUAGAGUGUUCAAAGCAGGCCUAUGCUCGAAUACAUUAGCAUGGAAUAAUAGAAUAGGACGUGUGGUUCUAUUUUGUUGGUUUCUAGGACCGCCGUAAUGAUUAAUAGGGACAGUCGGGGGCGUCAGUAUUCCAUUGUCAGAGGUGAAAUUCUUGGAUUUAUGGAAGACUAACUACUGCGAAAGCAUUCGCCAAGGAUGUUUUCAUUAAUCAGGAACGAAAGUUAGGGGAUCGAAGACGAUCAGAUACCGUCGUAGUCUUAACCAUAAACUAUGCCGACUAGGGAUCGGGCGAUGUUAUUAUUUGACUCGCUCGGCACCUUACGAGAAAUCAAAGUCUUUGGGU
rnacentral:rRNA from 1 species